rnacentral:rRNA from 1 species
UACGUAGGGCGCAAGCGUUGUCCGGAAUUAUUGGGCGUAAAGAGCUCGUAGGCGGUUUGUCGCGUCUGCCGUGAAAGCCCGGGGCUUAACUCCGGGUCUGCGGUGGAUACGGGCAGGCUAGAGGUAGGUAGGGGAGAAUGGAAUUCCCGGUGUAGCGGUGAAAUGCGCAGAUAUCGGGAGGAACACCGGUGGCGAAGGCGGUUCUCUGGGCCGAUACUGACGCUGAGGAGCGAAAGCGUGGGGAGCGAACAGG